AGGCCAACACCACCUUACUCUCAAGAGCCACGACAUAGCUCCACCACCAAGCACAACAAGAGGAGCAAUCCAGAAUUCGUGAAGAAUAAGUUUAGCUGUUUCCAUGGAGCUUCUUGACCCAAGGUCAAUGUUCAGUUAAAGUUCACACAUAAAGGAAUGAUUUUUAAGUCGUCGACAUAAGGACCCUUAGUGUUAGGGCUCAAAGUAUAGUUUAGUUGUUUAUGUGGAACUUCCUAACCCAAAGGUGACAACUAGAGUUGGUGUUUAGUUGAAAUGCACACGUAAAGGAACAAGACCCUGCGUGUCAUUUCGAUCAUAUCUCACUCUCCCCUAAUUCAGCCCUAAUAUCCUGUAUCGACUAUCAACUCCAAAUUGCUACUAUCUUGCAGCCACGAUCUGAUUCCAAAUUGCUGGCAGGAAGACGGAAAGGCCCAGGUGUAGAUGAAGGGAAAGACGUUGACGACGUACAUGAAAGAAGGGGAUGGGGUAGCGGUUGUUGGGGGUGACCGGUGACGUCUACUUUUAGGCCCUAAAACUAUGGGCCUACUGAUUUUGAGAUCUGGACUCUGGUGACCUCGCAGUGACAAGUGCAACAGUGGUACCCCAACUUCUGUUUAAUAACUAUGAUCUUGGACCCGAACAACUUGUUUUUCAAUGUCUAAAAAUCAGAAUAUUUUAUGUUCAACAACAAUUUGGAGGGUUCCUCAAGGCUUAAAGGCAUGGAUUGAUUUUGACUAAAAAGGAGUUGAUCCAGAUAUGCUGUUUGAACAGGUGAUCAUUUGGUGGGCUGGUCUUAUGAUAGGUCCUGUUUCGAUGGCACUCACUUUCAGCAAUUUGGAAAUCAUAUUCCUUUGAAGCAUAACAGAAAGGAAAAUUAACUUCACAUGCUUGUGCUUGCUAUGUUUUGGUUCCAUAAAGGAAAAGAAUGCCAACACUAAGGAGAGAAAAAAGAAUGUGAUUACAAACUUCAGAUUCACUGAAGGUAAAGAAGGUUUUGAGGACCUGAUGGGUAAAGCGCUGAUGAAACAUGGCAUGGUGACCCCAUCAAGUCAUGCACUAUUGGAAGAUAUACUGCUCUAGCUUCCCCAAUUUAAACUAAAAUUGUUGAGCUGUCAACUGCAUUCAAGAAGCUAAGAUGAGGAUUGGAAGGAAUGGAGAGUCAAAAGAAUUCAUAUCAUGAUUAAUAGUUUCAGAUUUGAGACUCAUUUUUAUGUUUUCCGUUGUAGCCUUUCAUUGACUGUACAAUAUUCUAUGUAACAGAUUUCAAAUAAGAUUUUAUACAAGAUAGAAUUGCGACUUUGUUAGCCUUUCCUUAACUGUGCAAUAUUCUAUGUAUCAUGUUCUGGUUAAUUUUCAAUGAAUUGGGACACUGUAAACUUUUAUGAA